GCCACUGAAAUGAAGCCCCUUCCUUUCUAAGGCAAAAUACCUAGACCAGCAGCCAGAGGAGUCAUGGUUUAAGGUCCUCAGUGGCCUGCGAGUGUCAAUGUUGCUACCUUUGGCUAUACCUACAGCCAGCAGCUGCAACCCCCACUCAUGGCAUAAGAUGCCGAAAACUGCAAGGUCACAGGAACAUGUAGCCAGCACUUUGCGCAGCCUCCAUGGGGCUACA
rnacentral:lncRNA from 1 species